GCCUGGGUGGCUCAGUGAGUUAAGCGUCCGACUUCGGCUCAGGUCAUGAUACCAUGGUUCACGGGUUCGAGCCCCGCCUCGGGCU
rfam:Felis catus isolate Cinnamon breed Abyssinian chromosome X, whole genome shotgun sequence.